rnacentral:rRNA from 1 species
GACGAACGCUGGCGGCGUGCUUAACACAUGCAAGUCGAACGGAAAGGCCCCAGCUUGCUGGGGUACUCGAGUGGCGAACGGGUGAGUAACACGUGGGUGAUCUGCCCUGCACUCUGGGAUAAGCCUGGGAAACUGGGUCUAAUACCGGAUAGGACCGUGCUUUAGUGUGUGCGGUGGAAAGUUUUUCGGUGCAGGAUGAGCCCGCGGCCUAUCAGCUUGUUGGUGGGGUAAUGGCCUACCAAGGCGGCGACGGGUAGCCGGCCUGAGAGGGUGUACGGCCACAUUGGGACUGAGACACGGCCCAGACUCCUACGGGAGGCAGCAGUGGGGAAUAUUGCACAAUGGGCGCAAGCCUUAUGCAGCGACGCCGCGUGGGGGAUGACGGCCUUCGGGUUGUAAACCCCUUUCGGCAGGGACGAAGCUUUUGUGACGGUACCUGCAUAAGAAGCACCGGCUAACUACGUG